GCCAGGCAUGGUGGUGCAUGCCUAUAAUCCUAGCUACUUGGGAGGCUGAGGUGGGAGGAUCACCUGAGCCCAGGAGGUGGAGUUUGCAGUGAACUGAGUUUGGGCCACUGUACUCCAGCCUGGGCAACAGAGUGAGACCCUGUCUUAA
rnacentral:sRNA from 1 species